UACGUAGGGCGCAAGCGUUGUCCGGAAUUAUUGGGCGUAAAGAGCUCGUAGGCGGUUGGGCAAGUCACGUGUGAAAUCUCCACGCUCAACGUGGAGGCGCCACGUGAGACUGCCCUGACUCGAGUCCGGUAGGGGAGCGUGGAAUUCCCGGUGUAGCGGUGAAAUGCGCAGAGAUCGGGAGGAACACCCGUAGCGAAGGCGGCGCUCAGGGCCGGUACUGACGCUGAGGAGCGAAAGCGUGGGGAGCAAACAGG
rnacentral:rRNA from 1 species